CCGUCCAACGUCCCUGUCGCGGCCCCUAAGGACCCACCUGAGCGCUGCGAGGGGUCAUCAACCCGCUGGGCUCACCCUAAAGUGAGGCCUCCGCUGACCCCUCUAGGAGGUUCAUAUACAAGAUGACCAGUUGCCGAAUGGAGAGGGAGUUCUCCCGUCCUCCGUGAGGGCUGACCUCAUGCGGGAUAAGCUGCAUCUGAGGCCUCUCGCCCCCCUCGGUCCUGAGCCCUCCUUGUGUCAGCUGGGCUCCUCCAGAAUCAGCUAAGAAAGAUUUGCUGAAUCCAAGGUCAUGAAGAUGUAUGCCUAUGUUUCCUUCUAAGAGCAGGUCUUAGAAGAUCCAUUUUGAGUCAUCUUUUGCAUAUGGUAUGAGGUAAGGGUCUGGCUUCAUUCUUUUCCAGUUGCUAUUCAGCCGUUCCAGCGCCAGUUGUCAAAAGGACCAGCGUUUCCUAAUGAAAUGAU